UGGGGAAUUUUGGACAAUGGGCGCAAGCCUGAUCCAGCCAUUCCGCGUGCGGGAUGAAGGCCUUCGGGUUGUAAACUGCUUUUGUACGGAACGAAAAGCCUUUCUCUAAUACAGGAAGGUCAUGACGGUACCGUAAGAAUAAGCACCGGCUAACUACGUGCCAGCAGCCGCGGUAAUACGUAGGGUGCAAGCGUUAAUCGGAAUUACUGGGCGUAAAGCGUGCGCAGGCGGUGAUGUAAGACAGAUGUGAAAUCCCCGGGCUCAACCUGGGAACUGCAUUUGUGACUGCAUCGCUGGAGUACGGCAGAGGGGGAUGGAAUUCCGCGUGUAGCAGUGAAAUGCGUAGAUAUGCGGAGGAACACCGAUGGCGAAGGCAAUCCCCUGGGCCUGUACUGACGCUCAUGCACGAAAGCGUGGGGAGCAAACAGGAUUAGAUACCCUGGUAGUCCACGCCCUAAACGAUGUCAACUGGUUGUUGGGUCUUCACUGACUCAGUAACGAAGCUAACGCGUGAAGUUGACCGCCUGGGGAGUACGGCCGCAAGGUUGA
rnacentral:rRNA from 1 species